GUACUGUUACAGCUAGAUCAAAUACGUGUAAAUUACAAUUGAGUAAAUUGUUUAAGACAUUUAAGUACAUUUUAAAAUUUUGCAAACAGGUAAAGCAGCAAGGUGGACAAGAAGCUCUUUUGUGGGAAGUUCUCAGUCAUUGAAUCAGGAAGAAGGCUGGAGGUGGACCUUCGGUGAUAUGGAAUAACCCUCUAGGAUAUCCUCAAAGUAGCAAAUCAAGGCAUCCAUGAAGUGUUUAGUCUUCCUGGUUCCAGUCCGAACAAUGAAUGCAAAUUUCAAGUGAACACAGGCGCACGUGUGCAAUCCACUCAAGUUGCAGGUCUACUGAAGAAAACAAUCAUUGAGCACUGAUGGAGAAUUUUCCAGAAGAUACACAGAGAAGGCUGAGCUGAAGAAGAGCAGGUCCUUGGUUCCAUCCCUCACCCUCUGCCACUGACAGUUACAUCAAAGU
rnacentral:lncRNA from 1 species